GUAAUACACAAGUAACCUGCCCUAGACAGGGGGAGUAACUAUUGGAAACGAUAGCUAAGACCGCAUAGGUACGGACACUGCAUGGUGACCGUAUUAAAAGUGCCUCAAAGCACUGGUAGAGGAUGGACUUAUGGCGCAUUAGCUGGUUGGCGGGGUAACGGCCCACCAAGGCGACGAUGCGUAGCCGACCUGAGAGGGUGACCGGCCACACUGGGACUGAGACACGGCCCAGACUCCUACGGGAGGCAGCAUG
rnacentral:rRNA from 1 species